rnacentral:rRNA from 1 species
GCUACGGGUGGCAGCAGUGAGGAAUAUUGGUCAAUGGGCGCGAGCCUGAACCAGCCAAGUCGCGUGAGGGAUGAAGGUUCUAUGGAUCGUAAACCUCUUUUAUAAGGGAAUAAAGUGUGGGACGUGUCCUAUUUUGUAUGUACCUUAUGAAUAAGGAUCGGCUAACUCCGUUCCAGCAGCCGCGGUAAUACGGAGGAUCCGAGCGUUAUCCGGAUUUGUUGGGUUUAACGGGUGAGUAGGCGGCUUUUUAAGUGAGCGGUGAAAGUCUGUGGAUCAACCAUAGAAUUGCCGUUGAAACUGGGGGGCUUGAGUAUGUUUGAGGCAGGCGGAAUGCGUGGUGUAGCGGUGAAAUGCUUAGAUAUCACGCAGAACCCCGAUGGCGAAGGCAGCCUGCCAAGCCAUGACUGACGCUGAUGCACGAAAGCGUGGGGAUCAAACAGGAUUAGAUACCCCAGUAGUC